AAUGAACGUUGGCGGCAUGGAUUAGGCAUGCAAGUCGAGCGAGAAGUGUAGCAAUACACGGAAAGCGGCGGAAGGGAGAGUAAUACGUGGGAAUCUGCCCUUAGACCUGGGAUAGCAGCGGGAAACUGCUGGUAAUACCAGAUAAUGUCUAUGGACCAAAGGUGUGAUUCCGUCUAGGGAUGAGCCCACGUCCUAUUAGCUAGUUGGUAGGGUAAUGGCCUACCAAGGCGAUGAUGGGUAGCGGGUGUGAGAGCAUGACCCGCCUCACUGGGACUGGGACACUGCCCAGACACCUACGGGUGGCUGCUGUCGAGAAUCUUCGGCAAUGGGCGAAAGCCUGACCGAGCGAUGCCGCGCGCGGGAUGAAGGCCUUCGUGUUGUAAACCGCUGUCGAGGGGGAGCAACUUCCAUAGAGUUAUCUGUAUGGAUUGAGUGAUCCCUGGAGGAAGGACGGGCUAAGUUCGUGCCAGCCGCCGCUGUAACAC
rnacentral:rRNA from 1 species